GGCACGAUUGCGCGUGCGCACGCCACGCCACGGCGCGGCGCCGGCGAGAAGACGCCGGGGCUGUUGUACGGUGUGGAAUGGGGGAGGCGGGCGACAGGCCCGGCCUAAGGUGCCAAGUCAUUGCUGUUGUUAUGACGCCGCCGGCGAGGUGGGAAGAGUCAGAGUGUCUCUCUGAAGCCGCCCAAUGCAACCGGCGUCUUUUCCUAUGACAGUGCGCGGGAUUUUUCAUGGUGGCAACUGCGCUUUACUCAGGCCGGGUAUUCGCUUAGCAAAAGGGGAGGAGAUUCCUCGGAAAAGCACUUAAAGUAUGUGCCGCCAAAGGCCAUUCAUAAGCGGGCUUUUUCCUAAGUGUUACUUCCACUCCUAAACCCGAGAGGAUUGUUUUGUAUGUGUGUGUUCUGAAAAGCCACGGGGAGGGGGGGAAAGAAACUAGGUCCUACGCUUCGGAUUGUUGACAUUUAUGCUCCUCGCAUCGAUGGAAUGACCCGAUUUAGGGGUGAUGCAACCUAUGAAGCGACUGGUCAAGGGAGGCCCAGCAUUCAAAUACCGACUAGUCACAAAUGACACCCAGGAGAAAAUAUUCCCGUGCCUUGAGUACCAUGAAGGAUGGGAGGACUAUGAGAAAUGAUUAAUAAAAAGCCAUGGAUGAGACACACCCAAGUCAAAGUCGGGCUCACUACAACCACGGCUCCAGAAAAGGUUUAGGUUCUCGAUGCCUCGAUUCAGCUACUACUCCCGAUAUGUUGAGCUCAGCUCAGCUCAUCAGCUUCCAGGUGCAUGGACACUCGUGUGCAUACAAGUACACUGGAGUACCCGACAGCCAGUGACGACCAGCCCCACUCUUGAAGAGCCACGAGGAUGGAUGUUGCCAGAGGACUGCACACACACACAUCCGCCGCCCGGCCUUAUAAUGCUCUAUUGUUUUAUUAUUCUUUUCUGCAUGAAAGUUGCUCCCUCUGCAAUUCCGCGGGUGGAUAAGUAGACAAGGGCAAAAUCUUCAUAUAGUUUUUUUGGGGGGGGUAUUAAAAACAAAGCUACCCCCCUUUUGUCUUGCAAACUAGGUUCAAGAAAGUCAGACACGCAUUCCUACUUUCUAUUGUAAAAUUCGGAUGUGUUUGCUCUGGGUUGGAAACAGUCACUCUUUACACUGGGAGUCCUUCAGAUGAAACCACAUUCUUGUAAAUUCAAAAGGGAUUUUUUUUUUCGGGGUAGCCAACCGGUGUGCAUGUGUGUUUUAUUUAUAUAUAAACAAAUAAGACCGAGACGUUAGAAAAAGAGGAAGACAGCUGAAAGCAGAGGCAAAAUACGCAGGGAGCCAAUCUGGGCGUUUAAAAACGCAAAAAGCUGCUUCUUGAAAUAUUUGAUCUUUAUUUCGCAAUUCUCCGUACAAUGCUCCUACGCAAGCCCCACUGCAGUGUAUGGCUCUCAUGCCUCUAGAUUGCAGUGGGGCUUGCGCAAGAGAAUUUAGCUGAGAAUCGGGCCCUGUGAACUGCAACAAUUGCUUCGCAGCCUGCGAAUUUUGAAUGCUGUUCCUGUUGGAAGAGUAGCUAAACAACACCUCCAACAGUUCAGAGGGAAUGUAGGGUUGUACUCAAAGGUGCGGUGGGGUAGAUCUUGAAAGGCGGUAGAGAAGUAAACAUUAAACACCCUGAUACAUUUGCCUGGCAACAAGGGCAUUUAGUUAGAAGGGGGGCACCAAUAUUUUGAAACAGCUCCACUCUUGUUUUAGCAUCACAGUAGCCCAGCCCCUGUGCAUGUUUACUCGGGACUAGAUCUUACUGCGUUCAAGGGGGCUUAAAGUAAAUGUCUGCAUAUUUAUUUAUUAUUUUAUUUAUUAUUACAAAUGUUUA